UGAUGAUAGCAGCGGAGAUUAGAAUUGAUGAACUAAUUAACUAAUGUUAUCCAAACGUGGACGGUACGGGAAUAUCUUUAAAGGUCCACAGAAGAAGUACCUAAAGAAGAGAGCAAGCAAAUAUAGCAAUUACAUAAUAGCAAAGUGGAAACUAUUAUGAGGAUAAGAAGACCUCUGGGACUCUCUGGGUUUGAAAUUGGAUUGGUUACUGUAUUGGGGGUCAUUGGUGGUAUAUACAUUUGGAGACCAUCUCUGCAAGAAAUCAAACAAAAUCCAGAAGUUAAAGAAAAGCAAGAUUCCUCUUAGUUGAUCCAUCAUGGCCAUUAGAUCGAAAUAUGCCGGACAUCCAUUGCUUUUAGCUGCAUCAGGGUUGUUCUUCCUUUCAGGGUGUUAUUUAGUAUAUACAAACUAUUAUAAGCCUUAUGCUCAAAGGAAGCAUUAUAUGCGUCAGGAGGAGCUAAUAAGACCAUUGUUGCUAAGUAGAAAUUUGGUUGUAGACCAUAACCAGAAAAAUGAUGAAUGAUUUCGUUAUGAUAUAUCAUAAUAAAGGUCGAGUCACUCACUGUUCAUCCAUUUCAAAUAGUUGAUACUAUGUUAUGAAUAUAACCGAGUGAAUAUCUGUUAACUCCUAAGAUAAACAUAGGAUUUUUGAUCCUUUCCAUCACUUCCGCAAAUAAAUCAUUGAAAUAA